AUAACCCUUUGAGCACACCUCUAUUUAGCAUCUUUCCUUUGGCUGUGUUAUCCUGUGUGUCAACCCUGCCUUUUCCCUCUGCUAGUGUAUACCCAGGUAUGUUUCACAUGCAUCCAGGUAGCUUUUGCCUCUCACUUUUUAACAUUUGUAUUUUUUAUUUCAAUCUUACCGGAUAAUUUUCUAUAAAAUCUAUCGCACGCUGCUAUACCAGAAAAUGUAAAAAUAGCAUUUUGCAUUUCCAUAGCGCGUGCAGACUCUGUAUUAUUUCCCAAAAUUCAGCACUUUCCAGGUGCGGCUUUUGUCAGCAUGCAUGUAACAUAUUAUCCAUCCUUAGUUUUUCUUCCACUAAGAAGAUUUUUUUUUUCCAAUUUAAAAAAGUUGGUGACAGGGAUUUAAUUGAAAAAAAAAUGACAUUUGCGAAAAGCGAUUCUUUUAGUAUCAUAUCGUAAUCACCUGUAGCAGUAUCAAAUCCUAUCCCUCGGUAUUUUAAUUUUGUUCCCUUUUUCACUCACUCCCCCUUUUACCAUACUCGCAACCUUAUUUUCCUGCGGAUUUCGCAUGAUAGACAGAAGAAGAAAGUGACACAGAUGAAGACAAUGCAUGAGGACCAAACCUUGUAAUCAGUUUUUUCAGUUUUAUUUUACUCCAUUAUUCUGACUAACAUUUUUACCCUGUGGAAAUUAUAAGCCGUGCACACUGAUCCCACUAACUCAGUCACACAAUAUCCUCUGCUUCUUGGAAGGACAAUCUUUUCAAAGGGAACCCUGCUUAUGGAUUUUUUUUCAAUUUGUGUCGUGGGGAAGGACAGUGACAAAAACAGACCCAGUGGACGUCAAUAAUUAUAGGUGUGUAUGCUGAACAGAAAAUCUGUGAUAAUUCCAACCACCGUUGACAACAGAAGGAUUAAAAAGUGGACAGAAUCGGGGAUGGCAAUAAAUUGGCUCCCAAUCUGCUGAUCGCACAGGAGAGCACAAAAGACGGUAUAUAACUUGUUGAGAUUCAAUUAACAAGGAAAUGUAUUGAUUUUCUUAUUAGUGUUCUUUUGCUGGAUGCGAGGAGAAACGAAGGAAAUGUGAAAAAAGUAACAGUUCCGGAGACUGGCUUAGUGUACACUGGGAUAAGUAAACUGAACGCUGAUUUGAGACUUGUGUGAAAGUUAAACAUUCCUUGUCAUAAGACUAUUGCUCAGGUAAAUAUACAAUAGGCAAUUUUUUAUUUCAUUUCCAUGUCAAUUUUAUCAUUGGUCAGUAUAGAAUAAAUGUAUGUGAUGAAAGUUU
rnacentral:sRNA from 1 species